GACGGGGCCCGCACAAGCGGUGAGCAUGUGGUUUAAUUCGAUGCAAGCCGAAGAACCUUUACUACCCUUGACAUGUCCGGAACUUGCCAGAGAUUGGCUUGGUGCCCGAAAGGGAAUCGGAACACAGGUGCUGCAUGGCUGUCGUCGGCUCGUGCCGUGAGGUGUCGGGUUAAGUCCCAUAACGAGCGCAACCCUUUAUCGUUAGUUGCCAUCUGGUAAAGCAGGGGACUCUAGCGAAACUGCCACCGUAAGGUGAGAGGAAGUGGGAUGACGUCAAAUCAGCACGGCCCUUAUGUCCAGGGCUACACACGUGUUACAAUGGUCGGUACAGAGGGCAGCUACCUGGUGACAGGAUGCUAAUCUCGAAAACCGGCCUCAGUUCGGAUCGAAGUCUGCAACUCGACUUCGUGAAGCUGGAUUCGCUAGUAAUCGCGCAUCAGCCAUGGCGCGGUGAAUACGUUCCCGGGCCUU
rnacentral:rRNA from 1 species